rnacentral:SRP_RNA from 1 species
GCUGGGCAUGGUGGUGCAUGCCUGUAAUCCCAGCUACUUGGGAGGCUGAGGCAGGAGAAUCACUUGAACCCAGGGAACAGAGUUUGCAGUGAGCCAAGAUUGUGCCACUGCACUCCAGCCUGGGUGAAAGAGCGAAACUCUGUCUCAA